GAAUACAUAGCAUAUCAGAAGGCACACCCGGAGAACUGAAACAUCUUAGUACCCGGAGGAAGAGAAAGAAAAUUCGAUUCCCUUAGUAGCGGCGAGCGAAACGGGAAGAGCCCAAACCAACAAGCUUGCUUGUUGGGGUUGUAGGAUACUCUAUACGGAGUUACAAAGGACGACAUUAGACGAAUCAUCUGGAAAGAUGAAUCAAAGAAGGUAAUAAUCCUGUAGUCGAAAAUGUUGUCUCUCUUGAGUGGAUCCUGAGUACGACGGAGCACGUGAAAUUCCGUCGGAAUCUG
rnacentral:rRNA from 1 species